rnacentral:rRNA from 1 species
CGUGCUUAACACAUGCAAGUCGAACGAUGAUGCGGUGCUUGCACCGUUGAUUAGUGGCGAACGGGUGAGUAACACGUGAGUAACCUGCCCUCUUCUUUGGGAUAACGGUCUGAAAGGGCUGCUAAUACUGAAUAUUCACAUGUCUUCGCAUGGGGGUGUGUGGAAAGAGAUGCUUUUGGGUGUUUUUGGUGGGGGAUGGGCUCGCGGCCUAUCAGCUUGUUGGUGGGGUAGUGGCCUACCAAGGCUUUGACGGGUAACCGGCCUGAGAGGGUGACCGGUCACAUUGGGACUGAGAUACGGCCCAGACUCCUACGGGAGGCAGCAGUGGGGAAUUUUGCACAAUGGACGCAAGUCUGAUGCAGCGACGCCGCGUGAGGGAUGUAGGCCUUCGGGUUGUGAACCUCUUUCGCUCAUGGUCAAGCCGCAGCUUUGGGUU